rnacentral:rRNA from 1 species
CCUACGGGGGGCAGCAGUAGGGAAUAUUGGGCAAUGGGCGAAAGCCUGACCCAGCAACGCCGCGUGCACGAUGAAGGCCUUCGGGUCGUAAAGUGCUUUUCUGAGGGAUGAGUAAGGACAGUACCUCAGGAAUAAGCCUCGGCUAACUACGUGCCAGCAGCCGCGGUAAAACGUAGGAGGCGAGCGUUAUCCGGAUUUACUGGGCGUAAAGCGUGUGUAGGCGGUUCGGCAAGUUGGAUGUGAAAGCUCCUGGCUUAACUAGGAGAGGUCGUUCAAUACUACCGAACUUGAGGGCAUCAGAGGAGAGUGGAAUUCCCGGUGUAGUGGUGAAAUGCGUAGAUAUCGGGAGGAACACCAGUGGCGAAAGCGGCUCUCUGGGAUGAUCCUGACGCUCAGACACGAAAGCUAGGGUAGCGAACGGGAUUAGAUACCCGGGUAGUC